CAUCAGUGUCUGUCCAAGUGUUUCUACUGUUCUAGUGACAGUGAGAAAGAACUCCCACUGGACUCCUGUUUCAACAUGGUAAGAGUCUCUGUUACUGGACUCCUGUUUCAACAUGGUAAGAGUCUCUGUUACUGGACUCCUGUUUCAACAUGGGUGGUGAAUCUCAACACUCCAACCUGGUAUUCAUCCUGCUCAUGACUACAGGGCUCCAUGUUGAUUUGACCCCUGACCUAGUUGUGGACAGCGAGAGGGCCGUCCUGACCUGUGGCUCCUACUUCAUCAGAGAGAAUCCCACCUACACCUGGUACAGGGACACAACCUUUGACCUAUACCAACAAGGUCAAGGUUAUGGCCAAUUACCUGGAACUAGACCCGGUAGGCAGGGAGGAUGCAGGCAGCUACUCCUGUGCGGUGAGCGGCAGAGAGGAUUCCCCUGGUCCGGCAGUGAUCCUUGUAGUGGGAUACUUCCCAAAGAACACCUCAGUGUCAGUCACAGUCAGUCCCUCUGGUGAAAUAGUGGAGGGCAGAUCAGUGACUCUGACCUGCAGCAGUGAUGCCAAGCCACCAGUGGAUAAAUACACCUGGUACAAGAAGAAUGAAGAACGGACAGGGUUCUCAGAAACAGGAUCAGGGCAGAGUUACAUCAUCCUUAACAUCAGCAAUGAGGACAGUGGGCAGUACUUCUGUAAGGCUGAGAAUCAAUACGGACCACUUGACUCUGCACUCUCAGUAUAGCAGAUUGAGAUUGAGAGAAAGAAAUGGGGUGCAUUUGCUUCAAUGGGAGGAGAGAAGAUAGGGACACAACCGCUUUCUCCAAAGAUAGUAGUUUGUCUUGGGGAAGAAAAAAGGGGGACACUGAAGGGAGGAUAGCAGAGGACAGCGGUCUCAUCGGUGGAGAAAUGCCCUGUCAACAAAGACCAACCUACAAUCCCCAGUCUACCAUCACAGCGCAGGGUGGAAGCAUUGUAAUUGCCCCAGCGAUCAACUCCACAGUAGGAGGUGACAUCAACAUCAACGUUCUGCAGUUUCAGAACAAAGGGAGGUGACCUGUCCCCAGUAUGAAGAGAGACCCAGAGCACCCAGCGAUUAUUAAGUCAUUGACAAUAAUCAUUUACAUUUACAUUUAAGUCAUUUAGCAGACGCUCUUAUCCAGAGCGACUUACAAAUAGGUGCAUUCACCUUAUAAUAUCCAGUGGAACGACCACUUUACAAUAGUGCAUCUAAAUCUUUUAAGUUGGGGGUUAGAAGGAUUACUUUAUCCUAUCCCAGCUAUUCCUUAAAGAGGUGGGGUUUCAGGUGUCUCCAGAAGGUGGUGAUUGAAGGAGAGAACAUAAACAUUCAAUAAAAUUCACAAGUUGAAUUUAAUCCUUUCUCAUUCUUGACAGAUUUGUCCAAAAUUGUGACACAAAAAACCCCACAAUUUUUCUUUACAUGCGUUUAUGGCAGUGUUGCUUGUCGAUGUAUGGCUUCUGGUGAGGGGAAAACUAUUCAGAAAAAGGGCAUGUCCUCUAAAACUGGUUAUAACUCCAGUUCUGUUUGUGACAUUAAGAUUCUAACACAGUGUGUUUUAAAGGAAAAGUCAAGGACAGAGGAGGGGAUGACUUUAAAAAAUGAGCAGUCAAAAUGAGUGCUUUAACGGUUGUAGUGUUAACUCUGUGAUUACCAACAAGGGUUUUGCCACCAAGUACUAAGUCAUGUUUUGCAGAGGGGUCAAAUACUUAUUUCCCUCAUUAAAAUGCAAAUCAAUUCAUAACAUUUUUGACAUGCGUUUUUCUGGAUUUUUUUGUUGUUAUUCUGUCUCUCACUGUUCAAAUAAACCUACCAUUAAAAUUAUAGACUGAUCAUUUCUUUGUCAGUGGGCAAACGUACAAAAUCAGCAGGGGAUCAAAUACUUUUUUCCCUCACUGUCAGGCCACGGCAUGAAUUCAUCCACAUGAAUACAGAUAAAAUCGUAUUAUCUAUUCAUCAUUGUCCGUUUUUGUCCGUCAAAUAUUCAACUCAAGGCAGCUAUUUUUUGACUGACAAUCAUCUCCGCUUUCCGUCAUCCGUCAGCAAAUGACUACCGUUGAAAAAAACAUUGGCUUCAUCUGUAAUUUUAAGAAAACAAUAAAAGAGAAUCGUCUGCAAAAUUUGGGAGGAAAGUGUAUUAUGCUUUAUGUUACUGUCUGUUAUUUUGCUGGAUUGACUUGAUCGAUUAAAGCUAUUUUGUUUGAAAUCAAAUCGAGAUGACCCCCACUCGACCCAGGGCUACAUGUUGGUUUGACCCCCGACCUAGUUGUGGACAGCGAGAGGGCCGUCCUGACCUGUGGCUCCUGCUUCAUCAGAGAGAAUCCCACCUACACCUGGUACAGGGACACAACCUUUGACCUAUACCAACAAGGUCAAGGUUAUGGCCAAUUACCUGGAACUAGACCCGGUAGGCAGGGAGGAUGCAGGCAGCUACUCCUGUGCGGUGAGCGGCAGAGAGGAUUCCCCUGGUCCGGCAGUGAUCCUUGUAGUGGGAUGUGAGUAGAGUGCUUAGAGAGGAUAUUAGAAAUGUAUGAAUUUCAUCUGUUUAUGUCACUAGCAAAUCAUCUAUUGAUUCUGAGAGUCAGCAACCCAAAUAUGGUUUUGUUUACUGACCUACAUCUUAGCAUUAGUUUGAAAAACAACAAAGGGGUAUACUACAG